CGCUGCAGAAGACAACAUGAUAACGCCGGGGAGGAAGAGGAGAGAGGACAUAUGGGGAAAUUUUAUAUUUGACGUCAAAGAUAACAAGACGCAGUGUAAGAAAUGCAGCACGAGGAUUACGGGGAAAAAAAACAACCUUGAAGCGACAUUUACAGUCGAAUCACCCCGAAAUCCACACACAGGUUUGCACACACAGUAGCUGGUAUUUUGCCCCAUUCCUCUAUGCAGAUCUUCUCGAGAGCAGUGAUGUUAUGGGGCUGUCGCCGAGCAACACGGACUUUCAACUCCCUCCACAGAUUUUCUAUGAUGUUAUAUUUUGGUUUCAUCUGACCACAUGACAUUCUCCCAAUCCUCUGCUGUAUCAUCCAUGUAUCCAUUUUGGUAUAAACUCAACUCGUCAUGUUUGGAGGAAGAAGAAUACUGAGUUGCAUCCCAAGAACACCAUACCUACUGUGAAGCAUGGGGGUGGAAACAUCA